rnacentral:rRNA from 1 species
CCGCUGAAAUUAAGCAUAUAAUUAAGCGGAGGAAAAGAAACUAACCAGGAUUCCCCUAGUAACGGCGAGUGAAGCGGGAUGAGCUCAGGAUGUGAAUCUGCGCUUUUGCGCCGAGUUGUGGUCUGUCGACGGUGACACUAACAGCCGGGCCAAGUUCCUUGGAAAAGGACAGCUGAGAGGGUGAGACUCCCGUCCGCCCGGUAGUGUGAGUUGCCAGUCAAUGAGUCGAGUUGUUUGGGAUUGCAGCUCUAAGUGGGUGGUAAAUUCCAUCUAAAGCUAAAUAUUGGUGGGAGACCGAUAGCGUACAAGUACCGUGAGGGAAAGAUGCAAAGAACUUUGAAAAGAGAGUUAAAGAGUACCUGAAAUUGCUGAAAGGGAAGCGAAGGAAACCAGUGUUUGCCUGGUCAUAUUUCCCUGGCCGCUUGCGGCUUGGGCGCUGUGUCCGGCUUGAGUUGUGCUUGGUUACCGGCCUUGGAAGAGCGCUGAAGGAGUUGACUUUAGUUGCUAGCAUUGGACGGUGACUGAGCAGGACGAAAUGGUUUUCUUUACCCCGUCUUGAAACCGGGACCAAGG